rnacentral:hammerhead_ribozyme from 1 species
GUCUAGCUGACGAGUUUCAAAUAGAAUGAAACACAUGUCCUGGAU